rnacentral:misc_RNA from 1 species
CAGAAGUGGUAUUGACCGGCUAGCCAGAACCAAGUAAGCAAGAUUCUCAAGUGUUUCCGUGAGGAACUGGCCACUGCCUUUGGGAAAUAUACGAUCAAAAUAGAACACAAGAAUAACCUCAAUCUGUGAGUUAUACUGCUAGAGUACACGUAAACUAACACAUCGAGGAGUGUUUGGCUUCAAAUGAUCAGGUUUGGUACUGCAACGUACCAUUGAAGCCAAAAAAUGAAACCGAAUUUAUAGUGAACGAUUGUAAUAUAUAUGGGAGUGGAUACUCAGUCAGUGAUACUAAUAAGAUAAUGACUGAAAUGAAGAAUUAUGUCGUAUCUAAGUGUAGGGACGAAUUUCGAAAGUAACAAAAACGGAAAAGACGUUAUCUAGAAAGGAAAAUACAUCAAAUUGGACUUUCUACAUCUUUACCAGCAACUGCAAUAUAGGGACCAAAGAUAGGUGUCGCUGAAAGGCUGGAAUUCAAGGAUGAAGUUUAAAGAAUUUUGGACGAAUUCUUUCACUCGUCCGAAGAAAUCUAAGAAGAAGCAAAAAGGACAACCAGUUUUUGAUUACGUAACUAAGCCACAAGAGACAACCAAUUCAAGCACAGCAACCUCUAGUCCAACAAGCCCGUCUGAUUCAGCAAACGGAAACUGCAGACCAAACAAUCGAGGCAAGAAUGAAGUGAAAGCCAACAAGUUUUUAGUGACUGAUGAUUUCACAUAUUUCGAUGAUAAGCGCUAUCAAAACAGUGUAAACAACGCCAAUAACAAUUGCCAAGUGGAUCAUUUUAAUAUCUUCAGUGCUGAUACUAAGACAAACUGCGCUUGCUACAAGCACAUCGACUCCUAUUGUACAAUAAGCCAGAGAGCAGGAUCACAGAGACCACGUAUCAUCCCAGACAAUGAGACCAAGCUCACGUUGGAGCAUUUCGGUGAUACACUAUACGCAACUGUUCCAAAAAAUCGAUCGAGAAUUCGGACCAACCCAUGGCUGGCCUCGCCCGACAGCAUGAGCCCUGCUAGUAGUAUUACAUCUGGUUCACCAGCUUAUUCCCCAACAAACCAGAAACCUUUCAAGGAAAACGGAGAACGCAAAGCAUCCAUUAAUUCCGAUAGCUCUGGUAAGAGUUUCGACACAGAUAGAAAGAAAAGAAAGUGUGAUUUCGAAAUGACUUCGCCUAUAGUAGACGACAAUGAUAGAACAUUAACAAGGUCAUCCGGCGUUCAUGACUAUGUGAAUAUCAUGGAAAGUUCCAUGACAUCAACUGGAAGCACUGUUCCAUCAGAAACAAGCUUUACAACGAUGGAAUCAUACGAGUCUCCAAUGGCGACAAGCACGGAUAGUUUCACUUCUGGACAUUACUACGAACAACUUCGAAACGGACAUGGGAAUACAAGCCCUACAACCCAUAAUGUAACUGUCCCGAUUGUAAUCCCGGCAAAAGGACGACCUCAAAGUUUGAACAUCAACAACAGGACAACUAAGACUAGGGUAAUGAGAGAGCUAACCCCGUCAUUCGAGGACAGUUUUGAAUAUGAAGAGUCUCUGGAGACAGCACUCGACGAUUCUCAUCUGGACGAUGUCACCCCUUGUAACAGUGACGAUGAGACAUUGAAUGAUCUGGACAAAUCAUGUGAUAAUAGAAGAAUCAAUGAGUUAAAUGUGAGACAAAAUAUCACACAGGAUAGAGUUAUAUUGCGCCAGCUUGACAAUAACGUGGCACAGGAGGUCACUACUACUGGCAGUCGCAAGCCUGAUAGAGCAUACCAUACAUUGGAUAUAGCCAUGAUUAAAUCAAGAAAAGACGAUAGGGCCGGCAAAGCGUCGGGAAGAUCAAUUGAGCAGAUCCGUGAAAGCCUUGAGGAGAAAGUUACGAGACUAAGGAAGGAAAAAUGGGUCGUAUCUGAAAAGAUCCGCCAAGCGAAGGAAGAAGAAAGGGUGAGAAUACAAGAAAAGUUGAGAUUUCAAAGACAAGUGACAUUACAAAGGAAGGAGAUGCUACUGAAGACCCUACAGGAGUUGAGGGAAAAACUGGACAGUCAGAGUUACAGGCUACAAGCUAGCUACAAUCACAUGUUGUUCAUGCAUAGGAAUGAAUCCCGGCAACGUAUCUUACAAAGCAAUGAAGGUGACCAUGCACUAAGAGCUUUACCAGUGCAUCACCCUCUUGUGAAAGAAUCUCCAUUUUGAAUGUAUUGUAAACAAUUGAUCUCUUGAAGAUGAGAAAAUAAGAUCAUAUCCACAAAGGUUCUGUAGUAAUAUUUAGCCAGGGUGUAUUUGGUACAAGAACCUGGUAUUUAUGGUAUUGUUUAUCUCAUAUUUCUUACAUAUGUGUAAAGUAGUGAAGUGAUGGUUACAAAUCAGUCGUAUUGUUUAGUAUUGAUGUAAACAUAUACCCAAGGUUAUUUGGAUGAAGCAGCUUUUUCAGAGUAAGAAACAAAAUCAAUUGCAAAUUACAAAUAUGAACACUUGCUACAAAGGUAUUAGCUUCAAAAUGAAAUCUGACUUUCAAUUAGAAUCAUAAGCUGGUAUCAAGUUUACAAUUUUAUCUUUUGGCCAAGUUUUAUUAAUACAAAUACGCCAUUUUAGUGACGUUUAGGUAUAGUUCCAAUUGUUUCAUUAGAAUGAGCAUCUUCAUGACUUUUUCUGUAUUCUGUAUAUAUGGCAGACAGCAGGUUUUGAAGUACAGUUACUUUGUAUAUUUUGAAAUCAAAACCAUCUUUGUGAAUCGCUUUCUUCUUUAUCUUGAGACAGCGUUCUUGUUUUUAAAAUGAUGACACAAUGAUUUACUUCACUUGGUAUAAAUCUGUAAAUAUUUAUACUGCACACAUUUUGGACUUGAUGAUUUCGAGCGUGGACUUUGAAUAUUUAUGUGAGCUAUUUUCAUAUUUGAUUUAUUGGCUCAUAUCUCCGUGUUUCACUUGAUCCCCGAUUAGUUCACAUCAUCAAUGACACUACACAUGGUGUUUAUAAGAAUCAAUGAAUCAAUUUGAUUGGAAGAUAUCAAAUAAAUAUUAUAAGGUUUCAAUGUUAUUUUUCUCAUAUUUUACUUCUUUGCAUUACCAUUGUCCAUCGUGUAUAUUGUAUGUAUGAUGAAGUAUGUUCUGGAAAUAUACAAGUUUCACAUGGCCCAAAAUAAAUACAGCAGAAUAUAAUGGAGGCAGAUGUGACAAUGAAAUAUGAAAUAUUUUGAAAUAAUCCAUAUUCCAUUGUUAAUGUGUCAAUAUGGUAUUUAUCCAAGAAUGUUGCAUUUAUAUAGACGAUCUACAAAUUAUUGAUAAUGUUGAUAUAUAGUUAUAUAUUGUAUAGUUUUAGUAUUGUGGAAUAUUGGACAUUUAGAAACAGAUUAUUCAUUGGGCAUCAAGAUUAGCCCUUCCCCGAUAUACAGGGUGUCCAUAAAGUGUCCAUCCAUCCAAGAGACUUUAUCCACACCCUGUAUAUCUUC